rnacentral:misc_RNA from 1 species
AGAUAACUGAUUUGUUCCCAAUAACUUUAUCUGUGAUGCAGUGUUUUCACUAGUUUUAUGAGUUCUGGUCAUAGUGCUCUGAAAUUAUACAACCUAACAUUCAUUGUCUUUGCAAAGUAAAAAACUGCUGUGUGUGAAAUAUGGACUAUAAGUGUGUUGUGUUUCUGUUAUGUUGUGUAGUUUCUGCAUUUGGAAUAAUUGAUUUGGAAGAACCCACAACCAAACCUCCUAGACACAGAGAGAACUUGCCCUGGCCAUCCCGACCACAGUAUGGAGGAUCAAGGGGGGUGAAAACUAGCCGUAGGCAGCCUCCUGUUAGUCCUCCCACGAGUGAAGUGAUCAACCCACUGACCAGCCAGGCACCUCCUAGGAGUACAUCCUCCAGACAAUCCUACUCAAGCCGCCCCACCCCAUCAACCCAUCAGAUACCAGAACAUGGUUAUCCUUCGAGGCAGAACUACCAGAGCUUACCUAAACUGCCUGUUGCAUUAGUUUUGAAUAAGCAGCCUCUCUGCCCUUACAAGGCAACAGGACAGUUCCCUUACCUCCCAGACUGCCGCAGGUUCAUCAACUGUUUUAAGGGACGAGGGAUGAUACAGGCAUGUGCUCCUGGGACGCUGUUCAAUCCCCGAACGCUUGAGUGUGACUUUCCCUCCAAGGUGUCCUGUCUUGAUUCCAGCUCUGACUACAGAGUCUUACCUUCUCUUGGCCAUGCACAGCGUCUCGAAGAAUUUAAUCCACAAGAACAACUCACAAGACAAGGAAGAUUUAAUACUACACAAAGUGAAGAUUGGAAAAGAGGUUUCAAAUCGUACAAAGUGACACCACCACCAGAAUCACAGUCACAAGUUCCUUUAUCACAUAAUAAUCCUCAAGGGCCUCAUGGGGGUGUUCAGCCUCCCUAUGGAUUACCCAAUCCUAACUACUUUGGUGUUCCUGUUCCUAGCCCUGUAUUAAGAGCUCCUUCACAACCACUGCCAAGUCCAAUGUUACAACCUCCUCCUCCAGUAACCCAACCGUUCAGUGUUGGAAUACCUUUUAAUAUUCCUCCAAUGAUGUUUAAUAGCCAUCCCAAUAACUCUUAUGGCUCUUCUAGCCCUGGCUACUAUGUUAUGUAUCAAAAUCCCCUCAGUCAGCCAGUUGCAAACACCCAAAAUCAGCCUGGGUACCCCAAUCCAAUUUAUCCUAAUAAUCAAGGGAAUCAUAUGAAUCCAAAUUAUCAAAAUCUACCCCAAAACCAGCCUGUUUAUUCCCAGAAUCCUGUCAGAAGUGAAUCUAAUCCACCUCGAUUGUUUUCAGGGAACAGGCCUGGUUACCCUCAAAGCCAGCAACACAUUUCUUCAGGAAACCCAUCUCUGUAUCCCCCACCAUAUUCUCAGAAUAGCCAACCAUCUUACUAUCCGCAGUACAAUCCUCAGCCUGGACAAUAUCCACCCAAUGGUCCAUAUUAUAAUCCUCGAUAUCCACAAAAUGCACCAGGCUAUCCUCAAUACUCUGGGGAUUCUUUUCCUCCAGUAAGAAAUCAAGGAAGAAUUCCACAAACUACACCAAAUUUUAACAUUCAAAAUCCUGUACAAUUCCCAGGCUCAGAUAGUGGUCAGGUACAUCCCCAAAGUGGCCAAACUGACAAUAAACCAAAUAAUCCUUGGAAUGGAAACCCUCCAAAAACCCCAGAGGAAUCUGACUGGCCAGACCAGCCAUUAAAUAAUCCAAGAAAUCAAUCUCAAAUCACUCCAGUCUCUCCUCAAGUUUAUCAACCCAACUAUCCUCAAAAUGGACAACAACCUGCAUACAACCCAGCAGCUUCUUAUCCUGCUCAAUCAGGAGGAAGACUUAAUCCUCAAAAACCAGUGCUUGUCCAUCCUAGUCCUUAUAACCCAGGUGAUCAGCAAACGAGUCCACAAAACUUUCCAUCUCAGAAUCCAGGAUAUGAAAAUAAACCUCGGACCCCUCUUGGGUAUCAUCCAAGCACUGAUCAUGAAACAGAUCAACAACCACCGGAAUAUCCACAAUAUAACCCAAAUAAUCCUCAAACCGGAAGAGGAUAUCCUGCAAUAAAUAAUCCACAAGAUCCUUCAACUUCUAGAGGUUAUGGAACCCCUCAGAACAUUCCUCAACAAGGUGCUGAUGGAUCUUAUACUGGAAAUCCCCAGAGUAGAGAACCAGAGAUUUUCCCUCAAGGAGGGCAACCUGGAUAUUUUCUUGUCAAUCAAAACUCAAAUGAAAAUGAACCACCAAUUAAACGGCAACCAUUUCAACCUCCUAAAUACAAUCCCGUGGACUCUUCAAGGCAUUCAGUAAAAUGUCCUCGUGGAGCUAGUGGCUUGUUUCCUCAUCCUGACUGCUUCAAGUUCCUCAGCUGUGACCAUGGAAGGACUUUUGUGAUGUCUUGUGGUCCAGGAACUGCAUUCAAUCCAGAUAUUUCCACAUGUGACUAUCCAGAGAAUGUUGAUUGUGGGAGAAGCACACCGGAUCCUACUCCAGAUCCAAAUGAAGAAGGAAGCUCAGAUAUUGAUUACGAGGCACUCUGGAAUAACACUAAUCCUGUGAACAAUGAUGAGAAUCCUUCAUAUGAUGUAAAUCCAAGUGCCUCUGACGUUGUGGAGGUUCUGGAUUUUCGAGGAAAUCUUCAAGAAGAUCCUGAACCAAGAGGAACAACUGAGAGAACAACAACCACAACAACAACAACAGCAAAAAUUCCAACAAUAAAUACAACAAAAAAACCAACCAGAGAACAGAAUAACAGAAAUCUUCCUUUUCCCACUCAACCACAUAAACAGAGCUCAGAUAUCCAACCCGAAGAGUUCAACCCCACAACAAAGUUUCCGGUAAAGCCACCGAAGAAGAAUAUUGCCUCGAGAAGUGAGCCGCCUCCCAUUAGCAAGCAGAUGGUUAGACUGAGAGGGGGACAUAAGGCUAAUGAGGGGUAUUUAGAAAUGAGAGGGCUCAAGGAGUGGGGUAUGGUGUGUGACAAGAGAGGAGAGUGGACCCUGACAGAAGCUAACAUCAUCUGCAAACAACUUGGAUAUGAGAGAGGAGCAGAACUGACCUGGCAAGGCAGACCUUCUGAUGGAAGUUCUUCGAAGAAAAGCUCCAUUGCGUUUACCCUCGUACAGUGUGAUGGCAAUGAAACCAAUAUACUAGACUGUACCACGAGAAAUGACAAUCGGUGUGAUCCAGAGCAGGACGCAGUGUGGGUACGAUGUCGCAACAAUCCACAGUCACAGUGUAUGGUGGGUGAGGCCUCGUACAAGGACAAGUGUUACCACCUGGUGGUGCCAAGGGAAGACUCGAGGAUAGACAGUGUGGGGUUUAGCCAGGGAGAGGCUCUGGCCCACUGUCAGCUGAGGAGGGGACAUCUGCUGGACAUCACCUCACAGGAAGAGAGUGACUUUGUCUCAGAAUGGUUGGUAUCCCUGAACACUACCAGCAACAUUAUGACCUCAGGGGUUGGAGUUUCUGUCAUGGGGGCAUCCAUCUGGAUCUGGGAGGGCUCUCCUGACUCCUUCAAGUACAGUAACUGGUGGCCAGGUUGGGAAGGAAACAAAACAGCUUUCCCUGGGACGAAAUCUAACCGGGCACUAUGUGUGAUUGCAAGGAGGUACUUCCCUUGUCCGGUCUCUACCAAAAGGACAACAGUAGAAACUUCAUUCUGUGAUGCAGAAUACUACUUCUGGGAUGUGGAGGACUGUGCAAUAAUGAGCAACAAACAUCCGUAUGUCUGUGAGAGAGAUGCAGAUGAUAUAGGUUGUAUAGUAAACAAUGGACAGGACUACAAUGGGCAGGCCAAUGUGACAGAGACAUCAAAAGCCUGCCUGCCUUGGAGUUCGACACAGGUGACAGCAGCACUCAAGUACCGAGUGUCUGAGACAACGUUCCGCAACACUCUGUCCGGCCACAACCACUGCCGCAACAUUGCAGGGUCAGACACUCAGCCAUGGUGCUUCAUCCAAGAUGGCACUUCCAUCACCAAGGAGGCCUGUGACAUUCCUUCUUGCAGUGUACGAGAAUCUAGAAUAGCGUCAGAGAGAUCAGCUGGGGAGGUCACGUGUGGUCCGAACUUAUUCGCCUGUGAACUCAACGAGUGCAUCCCUUCUGCUUGGGUGUGUGACGGUCAGCCGGACUGCAAAAAUGGCUAUGAUGAGUUAAACUGCACUGGAGGACUAGCUCAGUUCCAGCAGCACAAAACUUCUCGUCUCAUAGAGCACGACAAGGAGAAGUGGCUCCAUACAAGUGCAGCCAAUUGUGCCACUCGCUGUCUUGAAGCAAGUGACUUCAUCUGUCGCUCCUUUUCUCACUACGGGAAGGACCAGAUCUGCCUGUUGAGUGAGUCAAACAUUGGACUUUCAGGCAAGCUUGUAGCCAACCAGUCAGAGUGGGAGUACUACGAGAGAAGCUCCCACUCUAUAGACUGCUCUGACAAAUUCGUCUGUGGCAACAGAAAAUGUAUCAACCAAACUUCUACCUGUAAUGGCAGAAAUGAUUGUGGUGACCGAUCUGACGAGAAGAAUUGUUCAGCAGCAAACCUCGGCUACGAGAUCCGGCUGGGAGGCAGCAACGUCAGCCAUGAGGGUCGAAUUGAAAUCAAAAUCCUUGGGGAGUGGGGAUAUGUCUGUGAUGACCAGUUUGACUUGAGAGAUGCAGAAGUUGUCUGCCGAGAGGUAGGGUUCACCCUGGGUGCAGCCGAGAUUAGGCCUCACUCUGCGUUCGUUCCUCUCAACACCUCUAAAACUCUGUUCCUGGUAGAUGACCUACAAUGUCGAGGAAAUGAGACGAGCAUCAGAGAGUGUGACUUUGGAGGGUGGGGUGUUCACGACUGUGGAAAUGAAGAGGUGGUAGGAGUUGUAUGCAAAAUCCCAGGAAAGGUUUGUGCCAACAACUUCUGGCAAUGUGAACGCAGCAACGAGUGCAUCCCCAACAACUUUCUCUGUGACAACAUACCUGACUGUGAAGAUGGUUCAGACGAAGAUGUGACGCGUUGCAAGCAACCAGUAGCUGUGAGACUUGUGACCGCCAAAGGUGGACGGUCACUGACGACAGUCGAAGGCCGAGUUGAGAUAAGAAGAUUUGGUAUCUGGGGCACUAUCUGUGAUGAUGACUUUGAGGAGGCUGAAGCAACUGUAGUCUGCCACUCGCUCGGAUACAAAGGACCAGCACAGGUGUUUGCUACAGUCCCGCAAGGAGGCAGCGUAUGGAGCAGGACAAGGGAUCAUCUGGCUGGACGGAGUCCACUGCGCAGGCAAUGAGAGCUCUGUGGACAACUGCCUACACCAGGCGUGGGGCCAGAGCGACUGCAAGCAUGAGGAAGAUGUGUCUGUUGUCUGCUCACUUGACACUGAUGAAAUUGAUAUUCUUGGACAUAAAAAUACUCCACCAGUUGAGGAUGUGACCAACAACUUGACUGACGAUAUUCUGCCGGAUGACUGUGGCACUGUUGACGAGGAACUCAAGUACCAAACAACAGACUUUACCCCAAA